rnacentral:lncRNA from 10 species
UUGGCUUUUUAAAACAGCUUUAGCAAAGUAUAUUUUACAUAUCAUAAAAUUCAUACAUUUCUGGUGUAUACUUCAAUGCAUUUUUAGUAAAUUUAUAGAGUUGUACAACAAUCACCAUAAAUCAAUUUUAUGAGGUUUUCAUGCCCCAAUAUGAUCCCUUGUGCCAACUUACAAUUAAUGUCCAGUCCCACCCCAGCCCCAGGCAACUACCAAUAUACUUUCUUUCUCUGUAAAUUUGAAUCUUGGCUGUUCUUUAUUGCAGUUCUCGGCCUCUGUGUUUUCAUUGUCCAACUGAAGAUUAGACAAGAGGCAGCAUGGGGUGGUGGAUAAAUCGUGGACCAGGAUUGAAGCGAAGAUCUGCUCAUCUGGGACACUCACCAGUCGUCCUCAGGUUCUGAAGAGAACUCACCGGUUGUAGAGUCUGUGUUAAUCACCCAGCAUUAAUAUUUCCAUUGCUCCAUCAUCAUGUGUAAGCCUGUCAACAGCGUUCUUCUCCAGAAGUAAACUUGCUCAACCUUUAGUUUCACAUCAGUGAAGGUGGAUUCUUUCACCAAGAUGGACUUGUUUGUUCUCAGGAAAUCCAUACAGCCCUCGAUGAAGAGUUCAGAAACUCUUUUUAUGCAUUAAAAGCACCUACACAAUUUGAUGGUUUAAUACAACAAGUUUUUCCUCAUAAUUCUGUGGGUCAGCAGUUUGGGCUGGGAUCAGCUGGGCUGUUCCUCUGUUGGUUUUCCUGAGGACACUCGUGACUGCUGUCAUCAGGCAGUUCCACUGGGGCUGAGUGAUCCAACAUGACUCACUUACAUGCCUGGCUAUGGGUGACAGCUCUUCUCCGGACCUUACUCCCCACAAGCUUUCUCAUCCUCCAGCCAGCUGGACUGGACUUUUCCACACAGUGUUCUCAGGGUCUCAAGAGAGCGAGAGCAGAAGCUGCCAGGCCACUUGAGGUCCAGACUUGGAACUAACACCAUCACUUCUACUGCAAUUUAUUGUUCAAAGCAGGACAUUAAGCACCCCUAUUCAAGGGGGUAGAGAAAUAGACUCUACCUCUUGAUGGGGGAAGCAAAGGCACCUGAAAACAGAAGUGGGAGAAAUCUGUGACCGUUUUUUGCAGUCUUUCACAAGGAGAAAAUAAUCUUACCUGGACAAAGAAGAGGCUUCACCCCAGUGUUCUUUCAACUUUAACAUGAACAUGAAUCACCUUAGGAACUUGUUACAAUGCAGGUUCUGAUUCAGUUGGUCUGGUGUGGGACUGAAGGUAUUUCUAACAAGCUCUCAGGUGAUGCUGAUGCAGCUGGUUCACAGAGUACAGUUGGUGAACCAAGGUUCUAAUCACUGACAUGGGGUUGCAUUCCGUAGAAGCAGAUCCUGAUAAGAUGAUGAAGUGCACAUGUCUCUUGAGAAAAUGCUCUCAGGAGAAGGGGGGAAGGUAAGCCAGGUGCAGCAGAGGACUGAGCAAGGUUGGGGUCUCAGCUGGACACUUCUUGGACCUGUUCCCACGGGAGCUCUGGAGUAUGAACUGUACCACAGAAUUGUCUCACCUAGAGAUGCAGAACAGCAACCCAAGUCCCUUCUGGAAGCAGCCCUCUCCCUCCUGGCAGCUGACAGAAGUCUCUCUGGCCAGGCCGGCCUUUUGGCUGCUCUGCAUAUGGAAGUUCAAUUACUGUCAAUGGGAGGCCCAUCGGCAGGGUGAGGGCAGAAUACACAAUGGAGAUCGGUGUACCAGAUAGGCGCCUAGAUCAAAGAAGAACCCAGAGUUUGUGAAGUCCUUUCAUCCUCCCUGAUGAAAGGGAGAAGCUUACUGCUGUUUUCAUGGCUCUGCAUGCCCGGGGAAAGAGGAAGGCCACAGGAAGGUGACAGCUGAGGCAGGGUAUAACAGCAGGUCCCCAGGGUGGGUCAUUCACUGGGCUGACAAUCCAGUUGAUGCUUGCUUGGGUUGGGGCUCUGUGCUAAUUUGGAUGCUGACAGCCAGGUGACAGCAGCAGAGGGAAAGUAAGCUGAGAAGCAGAGAGGGGGAACCUUGAAAUGAUGCCUCUAAACGAUGGUUGACUUGUUUGUGACAUCACACCCCUAAGGCAUAGCUCUUUCCCCUGGGAGGGAUGCUGAGUGGCAAGUAGGCAGGCUGGGUACAUUUCCUUUUGGGAUGUGGUAGCGACAGUGUCCUACAGAGUCAGACUGGUGGCUUUAACAUCACAGGGCUUUGUCCAGCUGGAUCCGGAUAUCCAUUUGUCUAGAUUCCAUUUUCUCUGCUUCCUUUUUUAUUCCAGUAGAUAUAGCAGGCUUUCUCCCUGUAGCCAUGCAGAAGAGAUACAACUCAGAGGUGAUUCCUCUCAAAGGACAUAUUAGAUUCUUGAAGAGAGUCUAACAGGUUUAAGUGGGUCAGAUGCCAUGACUCAACAGCUUCCCCUUGAUCCUUUAAUCUCACAUCUGAAGCAUAAGACCUAUCCAGGUUACUUGGGGCAGCACCACCAUUGUACCAUUAAGGCUUCUCUUUCAGAAGGAUGAAUAAUCCAUCUGCAGCACUAUUUUACACUCUAGUUCAAUUCAAGACUCUGAAUAUGAUUUAUAAGUGUGAGUGAUUAUUUUAAGAUCAACCAGGGUUAAGCCAGGGAAAUUCUGUCCUCUGGUAGGGAGCCUCAAUGACCAGACCACUGUAAAGCCCCAGGAAUGCCAAGAACUCUGAAGAAGAAAGAUUCACCUCUAAGUGAGUUGGAGGAGGCAAAGACAAAAAACAAAAAACAAACAGUACAGGCCUUAGACUAAGGAGUGUGGGAAUGAGUUUCACCUCCAUUUCCAGCAACUGCCACGCAUAGAGUCUCUUCCAAAAAUGCCGGUGGCCUCAAAGAAGAGACAGCUGCUUCCCCAGCCCCUCAUUCAUCACCUGCUUGCUGGCCUAGGACUGAUAAGACAGAUCCAGAUCAAAUUACCUGGCAGCUGGGAGAGCAAGGAGAUAAGGAAAGGCAAGCUUAGGAGAAGUUCAGUAGAGUAGCAAAGAUCAAAUUGUGUAUUAAAUUUUCCAGGAACUAAAACCUUGCUCCCUCUGCAAACCCAGGGGAGGCACCUCCAAUCAGUCAGCACCAAACAGUGUUCCCAGGAGAAAAGCAAUGCCUUCAGCUUCUACUAGGAAUUAAGAAAACAGAGUACUGAGACCAAUUUAUUAUCACGCAGUUGGAUGAUAGGAAAAUGAAAACAAAGGUUAGAGGUGAACAUUAUAGAGGAGCCGAGUGGCCAAUGGCCAGAGAAACUUCAGGCAACAGAAGGAACACUGGGCUGAGCAAAAGACUUGGAUUCUUGUUCUAGCUCCAUCUCUCUCCCUUUGAAAAUGCACUUGAACCCCUCUGGGCUUUAUUUUUUUUUAUUUAUUUAUUUAUUUAUUUAUUUAUUUAUUUAUUUAUUUAUUUAUAAAAUGGUGGGGUGAGGAUUUCUUCAAGCUAAGAUCUUCCUGGCUUGAAGCUCUUAAAAUUUCUUGUUACUGCAGUCUUCCUAAGACAUUCCAUCUGAUGGUUUAUUCUUUUGACUCUGCCAUUUUACUCAACUAAACCUCAAAAUUCUUGACUAUGGAAGCCUCCAGAGGUGUUGUUAAAGCUUUAACUCUUUCAUUAAAAGCCAUGUGACUUGCUUUAUCCAAUGGGAGGUUAGUAGAUGUGACACAAACAAAUGCUCGAAAGAGUACUUGCAUGUUUCCAUUUACGUUUCUGUUCUUGCCUUCUGUCAUCACCAUGACAACAUGCCCAGUCUGGCUCCUGGAGGAUGGGACACACAACGUGGGAACCGGCAAGUCACCAGAGUCAUCUCAGCCAAGAUCAACCAAUAGUCAAUUACCAGGAACGUGAGAGAAUUCUGAGACCAGGACUGCUCAGCCACCUCUGCCUAAAAUACCAACACACAGAACAGUAAAGUGAAUGGAUGUUUAUUAUCCUAAGCCACUAUAUUUUGAGAUUGUACCUCAUGCAGCACUAUUAUGACCAUAGGUGACUGAUAUAAAAAGUAAGGAAUUAUGAAUCAUAAGAAAAAGAUGAACCAAGGAAAGAAUCAGCUUUGAAGAGGUGGUAAACUAUGGGAGUUGGGUAUGCUUUUCUGCAAUGAUCUUGUCUUAUUUUCUUUUUUUUUAAAGGAAGGCCUACCUGAAUAAUUCUGUGCAGGAAGAUAAAAGCAAGAUUAGAGUGAGACCUAUUCAGGGAGGUGUCAUUUUGUGAGCAGUUCAUGACCAUACCCAAUAAUCAGGGUCUGUCUACAUAUCUGAAUUUUAAUCCUUACAUAUAUGGCCUUAGAUGAACUAAAAUAAUUAUAAGAAGUUGUGUCAUUGUAGACUUCUAUUAAUAAACAUAUACCUACAUAUAUACAUGUUUAUGCACAAGAAUCAGCCUGUAUAGGCAUAUUUACCUAGGCAUAUUCAUUGCAUAGUGCUCUCAUGGUUGUGACUUGGGUGGGUGUAGCAAAGUGACAGGCCAGGAUCUCACCACAUAGGAAGAACUUUGGUCUGGCCAAGACAGGGCCAGCUAGUGGCCUCCCUGCCAUUAGCUCUGUCUGCCACCCAAGACAGAAGAAGCCAACAGUCCAAAGGGACAUAGCAGCUUCAUUUUGGUUCUAGUUAGUGGUGCCAUAGAAGAGGAACAGGCAGAUAGGAUCUCAUCUAGGCCAUGAGACAAGCAAGAGUUCUCAAGAAGGGUAGACUCUUAGAAACAGGAGGCCAGUGAGACAUGGAUCUAAGAGGCAUAGCCAGGUAGAAGCAGCCCUAGUCAAUGGCUAGAAGUAUAAUAUCCCAAUAAAAGAGGCAUUCUUAGAAAGCUGGGCAGCAUCUCAGGACCAC